GGGCGUAGAGAGCUCGUAGGUGGUUUGUCGCGUUGUUCGUGAAAUCUCACGGCUUAACUGUGAGCGUGCGGGCGAUACGGGCAGACUUGAGUACUGCAGGGGAGACUGGAAUUCCUGGUGUAGCGGUGGAAUGCGCAGAUAUCAGGAGGAACACCGGUGGCGAAGGCGGGUCUCUGGGCAGUAACUGACGCUGAGGAGCGAAAGCGUGGGGAGCGAACAGGAUUAGAUACCCUGGUAGUCCACGCCGUAAACGGUGGGUACUAGGUGUGGGUUUCCUUCCUUGGGAUCCGUGCCGUAGCUAACGCAUUAAGUACCCCGCCUGGGGAGUACGGCCGCAAGGCUAAAACUCAAAGAAAUUGACGGGGGCCCGCACAAGCGGCGGAGCAUGUGGAUUAAUUCGAUGCAACGUGAAGAACCUUACCUGGGUUUGACAUGCACAGGACGCCGGCAGAGAUGUCGGUUCCCUUGUGGCCUGUGUGCAGGUGGUGCAUGGCUGUCGUCAGCUCGUGUCGUGAGAUGUUGGGUUAAGUCCCGCAACGAGCGCAACCCUUGUCUCAUGUUGCCAGCGGGUAAUGCCGGGGACUCGUGAGAGACUGCCGGGGUCAACUCGGAGGAAGGUGGGGAUGACGUCAAGUCAUCAUGCCCCUUAUGUCCAGGGCUUCACACAUGCUACAAUGGCCGGUACAAAGGGCUGCGAUGCCGCGAGGUUAAGCGAAUCCUUUUAAAGCCGGUCUCAGUUCGGAUCGGGGUCUGCAACUCGACCCCGUGAAGUCGGAGUCGCUAGUAAUCGCAGAU
rnacentral:rRNA from 1 species